CCUACGGGUGGCAGCAGUGGGGAAUAUUGGACAAUGGGCGAAAGCCUGAUCCAGCCAUGCCGCGUGUGUGAAGAAGGCCUUCGGGUUGUAAAGCACUUUCAGUGGGGAAGAAAGCCUUGGGGCUAAUACCCUCGAGGAAGGACAUCACCCACAGAAGAAGCACCGGCUAACUCCGUGCCAGCAGCCGCGGUAAUACGGAGGGUGCGAGCGUUAAUCGGAAUUACUGGGCGUAAAGCGCGCGUAGGCGGUCUGAUAAGCCGGUUGUGAAAGCCCCGGGCUCAACCUGGGAACGGCAUCCGGAACUGUCAGGCUAGAGUGCAGGAGAGGAAGGUAGAUUUCCCGGUGUAGCGGUGAAAUGCGUAGAGAUCGGGAGGAAUACCAGUGGCGAAGGCGGCCUUCUGGACUGACACUGACGCUGAGGUGCGAAAGCGUGGGUAGCAAACAGGAUUAGAUACCCCGGUAGUC
rnacentral:rRNA from 1 species